rnacentral:rRNA from 1 species
AGAGUUUGAUCAUGGCUCAGAACGAACGCUGGCGGCGUGCCUGAGACAUGCAAGUCGUGGGAGAAAGUCGGGGCAACUCGGCGAGUAAACCGGCGCACGGGUGAGUAACACGUGGAUAACCUGCCCUGGAGACUGGGAUAACCCGUCGAAAGACGGACUAAUACCAGAUAAGACCACGAACAGUUCGCUGUUCGAGGUAAAAGGUGGCCUCUGCUCCUGCAAGCUAUCACUCCGGGAGGGGUCCGCGGCCUAUCAGCUAGUUGGCGGGGUAAUGGCCCACCAAGGCAAAGACGGGUAGCUGGUCUGAGAGGAUGGUCAGCCACACUGGGACUGAGACACGGCUCAGAGUCCUACGGGAUGCAGCAGUCAGGAAUAUUGCGCAAUGGAGGAAACUCUGACGCAGCGACGCCGCGUGGGUGAUGAAGGCCUUCGGGUCGUAAAGCCCUGUCGGAGGGAAAGAAAAGCUCGCUGGCUAAUAUCCAGCGAGCCCUUGACGGUACCCUCAAAGGAAGCACCGGCUAACUCCGUGCCAGCAGCCGCGGUAAGACGGAGGGUGCAAGCGUUGUUCGGAUUGACUGGGCGUAAAGGGCGUGUAGGCGGUCGGCCAAGUCUGAUGUGAAAGCCCGAGGCUCAGCCUCGGAAGUGCGUCGGAAACUAGUCGGCUGGAGCGCGAUAGAGGAGGGUGGAAUUCCUGGUGUAGCGGUGAAAAUGCGUAGAUAUCAGGAGGAACACCGGCGGCGAAGGCGGCCCUCUGGAUCGUUGCUGACGCUGAGACGCGAAAAGCGUGGGGAGCAAACAGGAUUAGAUACCCCUGUAGUCC